rnacentral:lncRNA from 1 species
GCAAUGUGGAUUGAAUAGAUUAUGACAGCCUUUCCUUGUCUACUUAUGUGUUCUUGCAUUCAUAUUUACAAGAGAAAUGCAAUGGAAAUUGGAAAUCCGCUUCUGAUUAGGAAAACUGGAGGCCAUUAACCGCUAAAGAUCCCAGAAGUGAAUGGCUGGAUUUUGCGGAUAAGCAGUUUGGGGCAGCCGAUCAAGAUAUUUAUUAAGCAGUCAGGUUGGCACUUUUCUUUUCCGCUGGUCUUUAUUGCUUGCUGAAAAUUUUCCAAGUUGAGUAUAGUUGGGUCUGUGUGUUCUUGUGAUAGAUUUUGCAGGGUAGAUCUGACACAUUGUUAAUUAUCAUCCCGCUGGUUGGAAACUUAAUUGAUAUAUAAGAUAUAGUUCACUGGACGAUCGAAAUACACACCGGUAUUCAUCGGAGAGUUAUUUUUUACAAAGUCUUACUAUUGACUUGUCUCCGAUUGAGAGUCUUAUUACACACCAUGCUUACCUUUUAACACUUGAUAAACGAGAUCUUACACGUUCCAGAAUUUUUGUAACAGAAGAAGUCUGAAGUUGAAAGAGGGAAGGGAACAAGGCCUCAUUUUCGCCCUCCUCCUCAAUGGCAUUCUCAUUCUUUGAGGAUUGGUGCUGCAACAAAGUUGUCACCCCCCUUGACAUCUUGACCUUUGCCGAACAUGGCACCUUGGCCACCGAACAAGGAACCAUCCUGAUGAGCCUUGCCGAACAUGGCACCCUGGCCGCCGAACAAGGAACCAUCCUGAUGAGCCUUGCCGAACAUGGCACCCUGGCCGCCGAACAAGGAACCAUCCUGAUGAGCCUUGCCGAACAUGGCACCCUGGCCGCCAAACAAGGAACCAUCCUGAUGAACCUUACCGAACAUGGCACCUUGGCCGCCGAACAAAGCACCAUCCUGAUGAGCCUUGCCGAACAUGGCACCUUGGCCGC